GCUGCAGGGAAGCGUUUGCAAUUGAGUCCCAAAGGAAGAAGGCUUUGUCUGAAAACCCACCGUCUGCAGGUGGUGGCUGAGUGUCAAGGUCGGGGCUGUGCCCCUCUGCCUGCACGGUGCCUCUGUGCUGAUCACCCUGCUUGGUUGAAGGAGAUGCAAAGGGGGAGAAGCAGAGGGUUCUGUCUGUCAGCUGCUUUCAGAAAGGUCCUGCUGGCUCCUUGCCUCUGCUCGGAUCGCGUGCACGGUGAGCAGUUCAGCAUAAGGAAACAUCACCGAUGCCAUUAUCUCUGCUGCCAGUCCUGCCUGGUAAACCUGCUCCUUCCAGGAUGGCUGAGCCCAGGGUGCAAACCACAUCCCUCAGCAGCUGUGCAGAGCUUGCACUCAAUAGCCACGUUCCAGGUUCUCAGAACACCCACGGCUGCUUAAAAACCAUGGAGUGAAGAGAUGCCACGCAAGCAGUAUUGGGGAGCUGUGUGUGUUCCUGGUUUUCGGAGCGCUGUAGCUUUGCUGUUCUUCAAGUGCAGUGUAGAGGAUGCAAGGCUUGCUGAAAUGAAGCUGUUUCUGUGGAGGAAUACUGCAGCUGAAGGAGUGACGUGGAAAACCCUUCCCAAAGACCAGAGGUGGAGAUGCUCACCUGGAUGGGAGGGGAGGAUGUUGGCAGUAGGAGCGGAGUGGAGCCAAGGAGGAGGGAUGCUGAAAUGCAGGAGCUGUUGCUCUGAGCUGCAGAGAUGCUGUACCGAAGCUCUGACAUGCUGAGCCCUGUCCAAUUCCUCCAAAGCACGCUGUUCCAUGUACCUUUGAGAUGCCAGCUCCUCCAGGGUGAGGUGGGCUGUGCAGCAGAGCUGUCCCCGCUCACACUGUAAUCCUCAGCCCUCAGCUGUCAGCGUCUCGGAUGAGUUCUUGGAGGGUAUCCAGACAAACACAGGAGAGAUUUCAACUGCUGCGAUCCCCUGUCCUAUUUUAUCUCAUUUCUGACAGCCCAUGUCUGCUGAGGCUGGGAAGUGGUGAGGAGACGAGAGCAGCUUCCUGCAUUUGUGGAUGGAGAAGCACUCCUUCCUCUGACAGCCUGCUUGCUUUGCCUGUUUCCUGCAGUACUGAUGCACUGUCUCUUGCCUUCUGGACCAGCUGCAUCUUCAGGACAACGUCCCAGAUGGCUCUUUUAGGGAAAGAAAUCAGAGACUGAUUGGUGGCCAAAAAAAGUCUCUCAUCCAGUAUCAAAGCUUUAGCUGCACCUUAUGCUUCCCAAGGACGGCUUGGAAAGGGCACAGUGGAGCUGCUGCUGAUCCUCUUGCACCGGGCUCAGGGGGUAUCUGGAGAAACCCUGUGUUUCCAGAUAAGGACGUGCUGGAUUUACAGUUGUCUACCACUGUUAAUGCAUCCUCGUCUGCGUGGUCGUGUGAAGGUAGGAUCCGCAGCAACCACAUCACCUGCUGUUCUCCUUUCCAUCCUCCACUCUUGGUUUCCAUGCUGCUCCAGGAUGUUCUUCCCACCCUGCGUUUUUGCAGUCAUUUAACUAAGCCUUUUUCAUCCAGAGGGGGAAAAUGGAGGCAGCUCUGCAGUUUACCAGGCAUCCCGCUGGGGAGCAGAGCCUUACGAGAGCAGCAUGGCAGUGGCUCUGGAUGGCAGCGGGUUUGGGGUUGGGAUUGGAGAACAGCAUCUCCUGGCCACCCUUCCUGCAAGGGGAAUGCAGAGCUGCUCACGUCCAGCAGGACGCGAGAAAAGGACAAGCUGUGUGCACAACGUGGUGAAGAUCAGUGGGUGGUUUUACCCAAAGAGGGCAGUGCCGUGCCACGAUCCUCCCCACUUCGUCUCUGUAAGGCGUGGAGGGCUCUGCAGAGCCGGGUGGAAACAGCCAACAUCGAGGAUUUCUUGAGGGGAAGAUCACGGCGUGAUGAGGCAGUUGUUUUUCGGAGGUGUAGCAAUUACUUCAAAGCAAAACAAAACCAAAGCAGAAAGAAUGACAGCAGAAAACCUUGCAAGUAUCUGUCACGCGAAUGCCUCUUCUGUCUCCUGACAAACUGCUUUUCUCACCAGCUUAGCCAAAGGUACACAGCCGUAGCACUGCCUGACUUAAAGCACUGCUCCUGCCUGUAUUCCUGCCCUCACUCACUGCAAGGACAGCUGUGAGCUCUCCUCCCUUCUGGACGGCAUCCCC
ensembl:lncRNA